UGCACACCCAAUAAUCUGAUGUCAAAAUUGUUAUCUUUCGAGGCGUUUUUUGCAACUGGUAUGAAUACCUUUGGAAUUUGGUGAAAAAACUGUGUUUCUGUAACAGAAGAGUGCGAUUUAGAAAAGUUUCUUCGGUCCCCAUUAGUAUUUGCAGAAUGAUGCAGUUUAUGCUAUUAUUCAGCCGGCAAGGUAAACUCCGGCUGCAGAAAUGGUAUGUCGCACAUCCAGACAAGGUGAAAAAGAAGAUCACACGAGAACUCAUCACAACAAUUUUGUCCCGAAAGCCUAAGAUGUGUUCAUUUUUGGAGUGGAAAGACUGCAAAAUUGUUUAUAAAAGAUACGCAAGUUUAUACUUCUGCUGUGCAAUUGAACAGAAUGAUAACGAGCUGCUCACCCUCGAGAUCAUUCACAGAUACGUGGAACUGUUAGACAAAUACUUUGGAAGUGUUUGUGAGCUGGACAUUAUUUUCAACUUCGAGAAAGCGUACUUCAUUCUAGAUGAGCUGUUGGUUGGCGGUGAAAUUCAGGAAACGUCGAAAAAAAAUGUUUUAAAAGCUAUCGCUGCCCAGGACGUCCUCCAAGAGGUCAGUACUUCCGAUGAUACCUAUGACAUUUGACUUGCCCUAUACGAAAGCAAAUGAACCAAAAUGCCUUGCCACUUCUUCCCGACGUUUUAGAACACAUCAUUUACACACCUACAUACACUAUCAAAAGCAACAUCAGUUCUAUUACAGUCCAAAGCUAUUUACUAGUGCUAUUUGCUCGUUCAUUACUAGCAUCAUGUUUUAGUGUUCUCGGGUUAGCGAAUCGGGAAAUUUACCUUUUAAUUACGAUACACGUAGUCCAACCUUGUAAGCCUUGCCAAUGCAUAUGUUUAUGUUUUAUCUUGUUUUGUUUGAACGCAUUUAACUUGCUCUUGUUGUUUAUGUUUGUGUUUGUUUUUUUUUCUUCUAUUUUUCGAAUAAUUUUAAAUUAUUUAAUUGGAAAUCUCGCCUAAAACCAAACAAUAACUAAGUUCAAUAGAUAAAUCAGUUGCAAAAAAGUAUUCGAAUAGCAACACUAAUAAAAGCUUCGUAGAAGAAAAUUAGUCUGUAUGUUAGGUUAUUUUUUUAAUGAAACACCUCGUAGGAGAGUUAGACAAUAGUAAUCUGCAUGAAAAAUCGCUAGGGGUAUAUUAAAAAAAGCACUAUAAGGCUAGCCGAUUCGAUUGAAAUGCUCUUCCGAUAUGCUUUAAACAGUUUUUAAACGUUAAAAGUGCCACUUGAUAAUCUGGUUUAUGGUUAGCUAGUACCAGUAGAGGUUUUUAAUCUAUAAUAUUUUUGUGAAUGUGCAUGACAUGCGAUCUUCCAUUUUCAGCUUUAGAUUGGAAACUAAACUCAAAACUUUUGUACUAACAAACCAACAAAAAUUAACCUAAUUUUUGGCUGUCGUUGAAAGCAAACAGUUUUAGUGCGUGCGACCUCUGAAACGUAUUUAAAAUUUUUUAAUAUGAUUUUACGUUGUACAUACUAUAGAGGUAUGGUUUUACUAAGUUUGCUGGAGAUAUUUGAUAAUGUUGAAUAAUGAAAAUAUAAAAUAUUAAUGUGGUAACCGUAAUGGACAGCCCAAAAGCUUAUCCGGUGCUUUAAAUUCUUCUAACAUACUAUUCAACAACUUAAUGCUGUUCGAAUUUUCGAAUUUGUAAGACGAGGUUUCAUUCAACCCAACAUAGAUUUUUAAAAGUUGGACUGAAGAAAAGUCUUCACCGCUAUUGAAUUUAUGGGGUUGCAUGAUUAUUCGAGGAUAAGUUCCGAAAAAAAGGGUAACAAAUUUGUGGAUUGACAGUUUGUGCGAUUGGUUUUUAACUGCAUUUGGAUAUUGCUUUUGCUAACUGCCUCUGUCAAGUAGAAUCUAGUUCCCCAUUUAAAUGAAUAGAAUAGAAUCGAAAUUAUAUUCUCUCUUCCCUCUUCUCUCUUAUUCUCUUCCUACAUGUCACCACAACUACCGACACUGAUACAACGACACUUAUUCCUAUAUGUCCAAUUGCGCUGUGCCUCUUUGAAUGCGAAAAUUUGGUUACCAACCACAAAACCAGGACUUGAAUGAAAAUCUCAACUGAUAAACGCUGAUAGUUUUAGUUUUCCGCUUUUUGUUUUGCUUUUUCUUCAAUUGUAAUUGCAAUUGUUUAUUUCAACAUAUCUUGUUUGUCUGGUUUCUUUUCCCCCUCUGUCCACUGUAUGUUUUCCUCAACUUAUCGCGGGAAAAUCGUCAUACGUUUGCUACUCUCCCGACACAAAUGUAAAAUGAAACUCAGAAGGAGCUGGAUUCAUAGAAGCUUUGUUGGUGGAAUUGUUAUUGGAUACGGUGUUGAACUAUUAAAAUACAAAUUCAGUGCUGCUGGAUUGUGGACUUAAUAACGCUGAUGAAACGGUAGAUGGCGCACUGCGUGAGAUUGGACUGCUUUGAGAGCAAGAGGGGUUGCGCGAAUGCGGCAUCUUCACACCCCCCAACACCUUCCUCCACCUUGUAGGCCCUCCUGUGUAUGGUGUGUGCGUGUGUGUAUGAGAAAGAUAACGACAUUUUGAAUGAAUUUUCCAAUUAGAGGGCUACACACAGACGAGUAGAAGAAAAUGCAGAGCAUGCCUUGGUUAUACGGGAAACGAAUUAGGAGCGCAGUAGGGUCAGUUAUUCUAUACUGAACUCUGUGACAAAUUUCCAAUUAUUUGUCUAUUAAAACAGUAUUCCGGGAUAUAAUAUAAAUGAACCAUAAUUCAAGUGUAAUCAUUUAUUUUAGUUUAUAUUAAAUGUACGUAGAAGAUCGUCUACGUUCUUUUAAUGUUAUUUUUUAAUAUCAUCAUUAAAGUGGCUUUUAGUCAUAGGCUAACGUCUAAAUCAAAUCCGGGCGGGUUGCAUUUGGCAUAUUCGUCUGUGUAUACCAUCAAUCUAUUAUAAUUGUAAAUCACGAGAGGGAUGAACGAUGAUACGAGUAACGGCCAGUUUCGAUUGAUAAAACAUUGGUAUAUUCGUUUUUCACUGUAUUUGCAUUACUUGAUUUUAUUACUGCAUUUAUUCGGUUAACAGUUAGAUAGUGAAUAAAGAACUAUCGUAAUUCGACGUCAUUCUGGGCGUGGAUAAAUGCAUAGUUUACAGAAGUCGUCAGGAGUCAGAUGAUAGUCAGUUUGGUUUUAAUCACUUCAAUUUAGCCUACUUCACUACUAAUUUAAAUAUAGACAGUUCGCUAAGGUUAGGGUUGUAAACUAAUGUUCACAUUUAAAAUUCAAACUCUUUAGAACCCGAUAGACAUUAUAUUUUCAAACACGUGCUAUGUUUAAUUAGGGAACGAAUAAUUGUUGAGCAAUAUAAUCUAGGCCAAUCAAACAAAAAAUAAAUUUAACGAACACCUUUGAA